rnacentral:rRNA from 1 species
GACGAACGCUGGCGGCGUGCUUAACACGUGCAAGUCGAACGGAAAGGCCCUGCUUUUGUGGGGUGCUCGAGUGGCGAACGGGUGAGUAACACGUGAGUAACCUGCCCUUGACUUUGGGAUAACUUCAGGAAACUGGGGCUAAUACCGGAUAGGAGCUCCUGCUGCAUGGUGGGGGUUGGAAAGUUUCGGCGGUUGGGGAUGGACUCGCGGCUUAUCAGCUUGUUGGUGGGGUAGUGGCUUACCAAGGCUUUGACGGGUAGCCGGCCUGAGAGGGUGACCGGCCACAUUGGGACUGAGAGACGGCCCAGACUCCUACGGGAGGCAGCAGUGGGGAAUAUUGCACAAUGGGCGGAAGCCUGAUGCAGCAACGCCGCGUGCGGGAUGACGGCCUUCGGGUUGUAAACCGCUUUCGCCUGUGACGAAGCGUGAGUGACGGUAAUGGGUAAAGAAGCACCGGCUAACUACGUG